rnacentral:rRNA from 1 species
UACGUAGGGUGCGAGCGUUAAUCGGAAUUACUGGGCGUAAAGCGUGCGCAGGCGGCUUCGCAAGUCAGACGUGAAAUCCCCGGGCUUAACCUGGGAAUGGCGUUUGAAACUACGGAGCUGGAGUGUGGCAGAGGGAGGUAGAAUUCCACGUGUAGCGGUGAAAUGCGUAGAUAUGUGGAGGAACACCGAUGGCGAAGGCAGCCCCCUGGGCUAACACUGACGCUCAUGCACGAAAGCGUGGGGAGCAAACAGG